GUCCACGCCGUAAACGAUGGAUACUAGCUGUUGGGAGCAAUCUCAGUGGCUAAGCGAAAGUGAUAAGUAUCCCACCUGGGGAGUACGUUCGCAAGAAUGAAACUCAAAGGAAUUGACGGGGGCCCGCACAAGCGGUGGAGCAUGUGGUUUAAUUCGAUGAUACGCGAGGAACCUUACCAAGGCUUAAAUGUAGAUUGACAGGUUUGGAAACAGAUCUUUCUUCGGACAAUUUACAAGGUGCUGCAUGGUUGUCGU
rnacentral:rRNA from 1 species